rnacentral:rRNA from 1 species
GUGCCAGCAGCCGCGGUAAUACGGAGGAUGCGAGCGUUAUCCGGAUUUAUUGGGUUUAAAGGGAGCGUAGGCGGGCGAUUAAGUCAGCGGUUAAAUAGUGUGGCUCAACCAUGCCUUGCCGUUGAUACUGGUUGUCUUGAGAGUACUAGAGGUGGAUGGAAUUUAGGGUGUAGCGGUGAAAUGCUUAGAUAUCCUAAAGAACUCCGAUUGCGAAGGCAGUCCACUGGGGUACGUCUGACGCUGAAGCUCGAAAGUGCGGGUAUCAAACAGGAUUAGAUACCCUGGUAGUCCGCACAGUAAACGAUGAUUACUCGCUGUUGGCGACAGACAGUCAGCGGCCAAGCGAAAGCAAUAAGUAAUCCACCUGGGGAGUACGCCGGCAACGGUGAAACUCAAAGGAAUUGACGGGGGCCCGCACAAGCGGAGGAACAUGUGGUUUAAUUCGAUGAUACGCGAGGAACCUUACCCGGGCUUGAACUUGGCAGGAAAGAUCCAGAGAUGGUGAUGUCCUUCGGGACCUGUCGAGAGGUGCUGCAUGGUUGUCGUCAGCUCGUGCCGUGAGGUGUCGGCUUAAGUGCCACAACGAGCGCAACCCUUGCCGUCAGUUGCCAUCACUUCGGGUGGGCACUCUGGUGGGACUGCCAUCGUAAGAUGUGAGGAAGGUGGGGAUGACGUCAAAUCAGCACGGCCCUUACGUCCGGGGCUACACACGUGUUACAAUGGAGGGUACAGAGGGCCGCCACCCGGCGACGGGGCGCCAAUCCAUGAAAACCCUUCUCAGUUCGGAUCGGAGUCUGCAACCCGACUCCGUGAAGCUGGAUUCGCUAGUAAUCGCGCAUCAGCCAUGGCGCGGUGAAUACGUUCCCGGGCCUUGUACACACCGCCCGU